rnacentral:misc_RNA from 1 species
GAUGAAGAACGUAGCGAAAUGCGAUAAGUAAUGUGAAUUGCAGAAUUCAGUGAAUCAUCGAAUCUUUGAACGCACAUUGCGCCCGCUAGUAUUCUGGCGGGCAUGCCUGUCCGAGCGUCAUUUCAACCCUCAAGCCCCCGGGCUUGGUGUUGGGGAUCGGCGAGCCUCCGCGCCCGCCGUCCCCUAAAUCUAGUGGCGGUCUCGCUGUAGCUUCCUCUGCGUAGUAGCACACCUCGCACUGGGAAACAGCGCGGCCACGCCGUUAAACCCCCAACUUCUGAACGUUUGACCUCGGAUCAGGUAGGAAUACCCGCUGAACUUAAGCAUAUCAAUAAGGGAGGA